rnacentral:rRNA from 1 species
AUUGAACGCUGGCGGCAGGCUUAACACAUGCAAGUCGAGCGAGCGGCGGACGGGUGAGUUAUGUCUGGGAAUCUGCGUGAUGGAGGGGGAUAAGCACUGGAAACGGUAGAUUAUACCGCAUACCAUCAGAUGUGCCCAUAUGGGAUAAGAUAGUAGGUGGGUUAAUGGCCCACCUAGGCUACUAUCCCUAGCGGGUCUGAUAGGAUGACCAGCCACAUUGGAACUGAGACACGGUCCAGACUCCUACUGGAGGCAGCAGUGGGGAAUAUUGCACAAUGGGCGCAAGCCUGAUACAGCCAGGCCGGGUGUGUAAAGAAGGCCUUGGGGUUGUAAAGCACUUUCAGAGGGGAGGCGUUACUGACAGAAGAAGCACCGGCUAACUCCGUGCCAGCAGCCGCGGUAAUAC